rnacentral:sRNA from 1 species
UGAUGUCAGGGGCAAAAGGUGCAAAUCCGAUUGUGCUUGCACAAGAAGGAUUUGGAACUUGGGACCCGCUAAAUACGAGCAAUAAGCGUUAUUACGCGGAUUGCGAGUAUUUUAGAAACGCGAUAGCUGCAUAGCAGCGGAGCGGUUCGUGACAUCA